rnacentral:rRNA from 1 species
GACGAACGCUGGCGGCGUGCUUAACACAUGCAAGUCGAACGGUGAAGCGCCUUCCUUUUUGGUGGGUGUGGAUGAGUGGCGAACGGGUGAGUAACACGUGAGUAACCUGCCCCCUUCUUCUGGAUAACCGCAUGAAAGUGUGGCUAAUACGGGAUAUUCUGGGUCUGUCGCAUGAUGGGUCUGGGAAAGAUAUUGUUUCGGUGGGGGAUGGGCUCGCGGCCUAUCAGCUUGUUGGUGGGGUGAUGGCCUACCAAGGCGGUGACGGGUAGCCGGCCUGAGGGGGUGGACGGUCACACUGGGACUGAGACACGGCCCAGACUCCUACGGGAGGCAGCAGUGGGGAAUAUUGCACAAUGGGCGCAAGCCUGAUGCAGCGACGCCGCGUGAGGAAUGGAGGCCUUCGGGUUGUGAACCUCUUUCGCCAGUGAAGCAGGCCUGCCUCGUUUGUGGGUGGGUUGACGGUAGCUGGAUAAGAAGCGCCGGCUAACUACGUG